GUACUUACUUCAGCAGUGUGUGCACUCAGAUUGGAACAAUACAGGAAGAUUAGCAUGGCACCUGUGCCAAGAUGACUUGCAAAUUCUUGUAUGCUUCACAUUUUAU
ensembl:snRNA U6 U6 spliceosomal RNA